rnacentral:lncRNA from 1 species
CCCUUCCCUCUUCCAAUCCUACCUCACUACCAGCCUUCUGCUAGUGAUUUGCGACAUUGCACGAAAAUCAAACGACCCAAUGACAGGGGACCCAACUGACCAUGAAAACACCGUCAAAGAUUAGUGGCAUUUACAUGCGUGUAUCGGCAUGGAAAGCUACUUUCCCUAAUCAGUGGCUCUAAUAUGAAGCAAUAGAACCCCAUUGAAACAUAAAAACAAAAGCAUCCUGAUUUUAAAAGUCAAAA